UGUUAAGUCCCAGACGUUUCCAUAUUACAACUUUAUUUAAAAUGUGCAGUUUUUUAAGCAAGUUAGUAGUAGUGUGGCGGUCAACAUGGCAAAACAAAUAUGCACACACUUAAGAGUUUAGUUUAUAAACAAGUCUCUCCUGUCGAGAGAUGUACGAUUUUCUGGAGUAUAAUUGCAAGCCCCGAUGCUUUCUCCUGUAAGGUGGUGCAGAGACAAAAGGAUACUAACUAGGCAAUUCCAUGCUUGCUUGCUGUUGCAGUCGGUGCUGUUUUUUCAAACUGUAAAUAAACCCGACACUGCGUACAGGGAUUAAAUAGCCAAGAAUGAUAUACCUGGGGAUCUCUGGCACUGCUCUGGCCUGGUUCUCCUCCUACCUCACCAACCGCACU